AGCAGCCGCGGUAAUUCCAGCUCCAAUAGCGUAUAUUAAAGUUGCUGCAGUUAAAAAGCUCGUAGUUGAAUUUCGGGACUAAUAUGUCGGUCGUGCCUCGGUACGUACUGGCUUAUUGGUUUCUCCUUUCUGAAGAACCAUGAUGUCAUUUAUUUGGUGUCGUGGGAAAUCAGGACUGUUACUUUGAAAAAAUUAGAGUGUUUAAAGCAGGCUCACGCUUGAAUACAUUAGCAUGGAAUAAUGAAAUAGGACGUUUGAUUCUAUUUUGUUGGUUUCUAGGAUCGACGUAAUGAUUAAUAGGGAUAGUUGGGGGCAUUAGUAUUCAAUUGUCAGAGGUGAAAUUCUUGGAUUUAUUGAAGACUAACUACUGCGAAAGCAUUUGCCAAGGAUGUUUUCAUUAAUCAAGAACGAAAGUUAGGGGAUCGAAGACGAUCAGAUACCGUCGUAGUCUUAACCAUAAACUAUGCCGACUAGGGAUCGGAUGAUGUUAAUUUUUUAAUGACUCAUUCGGCGCCUUGCG
rnacentral:misc_RNA from 1 species